CAGGGUCGAGGCGACGAUGUGGCGCCCAGCACAGGUGCAGAGGCAGCGCUGCCAGCAGCCUGGGUCCCCAGAGCAGCCGGGAAGGUGGCAAGACCUUGUUUAAAAAGUAGCUGCAUGGGCCAAAAAGAGAAGCAAACAACCAAGCAGUGUCAGAAGUUCCAAAUCCCCUGCCACGUUUUGCUGCUGCUUGCGCAGUUGAAGAGAAGGAAAAGCAAGGAGAAAAUUUGUGAAUAAGAAAUGUCACUUAGACCUGAAUGGAAGAGAUUUGGCAAAAAAUAUAGGUGAUGCAGCACUUCCAGAAAAGACAAUCACAGAGGGCUGCUAGGCAAUUUGAAGAUGUCCGUGGGGAGAUGGUAUCAAAGACACUGCGAGCUCUAAAAUUAACAUCAAAAAUGAUGUAUCCAGAAGAAAGACUUUGUACCUACAACUGCUUUCACAGCUGCAAACCUUUUCUUUUAGAACAUUUUGUGUAUCUCAUGGCUAUGUUGUUUACAGCUUUUCUGCAAGUUUUUGUUUUUCCCCAUGGAAGCAACUGAAAAAAAAAAAACCCUUAAGUGUGCAUAUCUGUUCAAGUCUGGUUGGAUGUUACCCAGAAGCUGCUGGGUAAUGGGUUUUUGAGCCUAUGCAGUAAUUGUAACUCAUCACCAGUAUGUUAUGCAAGAUUGUGCAAAUAAUGGUUCCAUUUGAAGAAUUAUAGAAUUAUCCAAUCUUGUCAUCACUAAGUAAAAUUCUAAUUCAAAAUGCUGCAGUGAAUGGUAGCCCAGAUGUGCUCACUUAGUAUUGUCAAUCAAAUAUCAUCUGAGGCUAUUUAUCAGAGCAAAAAGACAAAGAGAGCAUCAAAAAUAAUUUUUGGACAGUUGUCAAAUUUCAUUCUUUUGAUCCUUUCAUAUGCUGUAGUUAAACACAAGCCUUAAAAAGUUCUUUACUUAGAAAAACAAAACUGAUUACAGAUCUUGUGUCUGUGAAUACAAUUUUAAUGAUUGCAUAAAAGAUUAAACCCAGAAAAGAAGUUUGUUUAAAAACAACUGCAGAAAACUCCAACAACAAAACCCCACAGCCUUUUCAACUCCAGGUGCUGCCAUAGAGGUUAUAUGAUCUGUUGAAUUUCUUUGUCUUUUGUACCUCUGAAAAGAUUCACAUUUUGUUUUAACAGUAACAGCUCGUAUUUGAGACAGCCUUGAAGUUUUUGAAUAGUUUAGUGUGUAGAAAAGUCAAGCUAUUUCCCCGGUAUAUUUGUGGGUGCAGAGCAGGCCCAGUAAGGUUCUGAGUGUCAGAGAAGCUGUUAAUAGCAAUUGAGUCUGACUUUUCCUGCUCAAGAGAAUUGGAGUAGAUGAUACAGAACACCAAAAGAAAGGGGAGUUUGGGUUUCUUCCAGAGGAAUAAAAAUGAGAAAAGGGUCUGGAUUCAGACAUUCACGUGUCAAAAAUCACCUGAAAUUCACUGGAUUCACUUCACUGGUAUCUCAGUAUCUUUUGAAUCUGGACCAAAAUCUAAGGGAGGUUGUAGUCGAUGAAAGGAAAAAUAGCAAGAUUAAGAACAGAUUAUUAAGAUGUCUUGAUUCCUAAGAUUUUGAUAUAAAAUUGUAUGUAUAACAUUAGUCAUUGCACCUUUCUCCCAGGAGAUACAGCCAGAAGGUGGUCUGCAUUUACCAGCACAUAUCACGUAUUUGUAUCUUCCUAGCCUUUCAUAAUUUGAAGUACUUUAUUACGUCCUUAGCAGGUGACAGCUGUUGAGUUUAGAUGCGAUGUUGACUUAAAAAAAUUCUCAGAAAGUUGUUUUGUUUUCAGCAAAGUACUUGUGCUGCUGAGAUGCAAAAUAACACCAUUUCGCUGAUAUUAGCAAAACAUUCAUACUUGGAAGAGCUCUUUCAAUCACAGUCACAUUAAGAAGCCUCUUCAGAGGCUGAAGUGAGUAGCUAACUACAUAUCUAUGUUUUAUUGGGUAGCACUUUCUACUUCCAUUUUUUUAUCACAAAAUAUUUAUCAGAUGGUGUGGAAGACUUGCAUGCCAAAAAGGAGGAACGUGGCAACUGGUUCUUUAUUUUUCCAAUACAAUAUUUUAUUUCUGAAUGUUUUGUAAAAACAGUAUUGUCUGCUGUUAUGCUACUCUGAUAGCAGUUUACUUGAGUACCGAAAUAACUAAACUGGACAAUCACUUCCUCUGACUAUAUGCAACUGACAGUUUAAAAAAAAAAAAUUAAAAAAAACCAUUAGUGUAGAGCCCUGUAGAAUGACAAUACAAAGUGAUUAAUUAUCUACACAGAAGAUUUUCAAAAUCAGUAAGGGACUUAGGAGAAGCAAUUGAACUGAAUGUUAAUGGCACUUAUAUUACUAAAUCUCUUGGGUGUUUUUGAAUGUUCAGUUUCUACAUGAAUGUGUUACAAAUAAUGCUGUUGGAAUAUUUGGAAAGACUUGUUUAUUUUACAGUUCUCCAUUUCAUGCGCACUGAUUCCUGUGGCUGUAAUUUGCUUUCCAAAUAUGUGUACGUCUUUAAUAUCCUUAAAGUCAGUUUAUUAUUUUGCCUUGCUAUUGCUUAAUCAACCUGGAGAUGUAAUUUUCUGGACAAACAUUGAUAUUACCCAUAGGAGACAGCUUUUUUCCCCCCCACUGCUGUGCUUUCAAGUUCUGUUCAUCUUGGCUGGACUUUGUGCCAUAAAGAGAUAUUUCCUGUCAAAUUUGAUAUUCUGUAUGAAAUGCUGCUCAAGAUGAGUAUCUCAUUGGCUAGAGGUACAACCGUAAAGUCUUUGUCUUCCUAAAAUAAGGAAGACUUUCAGUCCCAAUAUCUCAAGUUUACGUGGAGAUUAGUCUUGGGAACAGUUAGAUUGUUUCUCUAACUAGGCAGUGUGAUGUUUUGCUGAGCAUAUUCUGUUGGAGCUGUCAGCUUCCAGUAAAACUUGUAUUGUUGUGUGGUUUGAUGGAUUUUAGUUUUGCAGUUUUGUUUUAUUAGUUUUUACUCAAUGUUUUUACUCAAUUAGUGUUUAUUCAACUAUCUUUUUUCUCAGUGGCUAUGUUUGUAAAAUACCUAAGCUAUAUAUUUUGCUUGUAUCAGUGAACUCCAAGGAUAAUAAAAUGUCAUUCACUA